UACAGGGGGUGCAAACGUUGCUCGGAAUCAUUGGGCGUAAAGCGCACGUAGGCGGUUCGUUAUGUCGGAUGUGAAAGCCCUUGGCUUAACCGAGGAAGUGCAUCCGAAACUGGCGAGCUAGAGUACGAAAGAGGAUCGCGGAAUUCCCGGUGUAGAGGUGAAAUUCGUAGAUAUCAGGAGGAACACCGGUGGCGAAGGCGGAUCUCUGGGCCUUACCUGACGCUCAGGCACGAAAGCUAGGGGAGCGAACAGG
rnacentral:rRNA from 1 species